rnacentral:rRNA from 3 species
CAGGUUGAAGGUUGGGUAACACUAACUGGAGGACCGAACCGACUAAUGUUGAAAAAUUAGCGGAUGACCUGUGGCUGGGGGUGAAAGGCCAAUCAAACCGGGAGAUAGCUGGUUCUCCCCGAAAGCUAUUUAGGUAGCGCCUCGUGAAUUCAUCUCCGGGGGUAGAGCACUGUUUCGGCUAGGGGGCCAUCCCGGCUUACCAACCCGAUGCAAACUGCGAAUACCGGAGAAUGUUAUCACGGGAGACACACGGCGGGUGCUAACGUCCGUCGUGAAGAGGGAAACAACCCAGACCGCCAGCUAAGGUCCCAAAGUCAUGGUUAAGUGGGAAACGAUGUGGGAAGGCCCAGACAGCCAGGAUGUUGGCUUAGAAGCAGCCAUCAUUUAAAGAAAGCGUAAUAGCUCACUGGUCGAGUCGGCCUGCGCGGAAGAUGUAACGGGGCUAAACCAUGCACCGAAGCUGCGGCAGCGACACUGUGUGUUGUUGGGUAGGGGAGCGUUCUGUAAGCCUGUGAAGGUGUGUCGUGAGGCAUGCUGGAGGUAUCAGAAGUGCGAAUGCUGACAUAAGUAACGAUAAAGCGGGUGAAAAGCCCGCUCGCCGGAAGACCAAGGGUUCCUGUCCAACGUUAAUCGGGGCAGGGUGAGUCGACCCCUAAGGCGAGGCCGAAAGGCGUAGUCGAUGGGAAACGGGUUAAUAUUCCCGUACUUGGUGUUACUGCGAAGGGGGGACGGAGAAGGCUAUGUUGGCCGGGCGACGGUUGUCCCGGUUUAAGCGUGUAGGUGUGUGUUCCAGGUAAAUCCGGUUCACUUUAACACUGAGGCGUGACGACGAGGCACUACGGUGCUGAAGCAACAAAUGCCCUGCUUCCAGGAAAAGCCUCUAAGCAUCAGGUAACAUCAAAUCGUACCCCAAACCGACACAGGUGGUCAGGUAGAGAAUACCAAGGCGCUUGAGAGAACUCGGGUGAAGGAACUAGGCAAAAUGGUGCCGUAACUUCGGGAGAAGGCACGCUGACACGUAGGUGAAGUGAUUUACUCAUGGAGCUGAAGUCAGUCGAAGAUACCAGCUGGCUGCAACUGUUUAUUAAAAACACAGCACUGUGCAAACACGAAAGUGGACGUAUACGGUGUGACGCCUGCCCGGUGCCGGAAGGUUAAUUGAUGGGGUCAGCGCAAGCGAAGCUCCUGAUCGAAGCCCCGGUAAACGGCGGCCGUAACUAUAACGGUCCUAAGGUAGCGAAAUUCCUUGUCGGGUAAGUUCCGACCUGCACGAAUGGCGUAAUGAUGGCCAGGCUGUCUCCACCCGAGACUCAGUGAAAUUGAACUCGCUGUGAAGAUGCAGUGUACCCGCGGCAAGACGGAAAGACCCCGUGAACCUUUACUAUAGCUUGACACUGAACAUUGAGCCUUGAUGUGUAGGAUAGGUGGGAGGCUUUGAAGUGUGGACGCCAGUCUGCAUGGAGCCGACCUUGAAAUACCACCCUUUAAUGUUUGAUGUUCUAACGUGGACCCGUUACCCGGGUUGCGGACAGUGUCUGGUGGGUAGUUUGACUGGGGCGGUCUCCUCCUAAAGAGUAACGGAGGAGCACGAAGGUUGGCUAAUCCUGGUCGGACAUCAGGAGGUUAGUGCAAUGGCAUAAGCCAGCUUGACUGCGAGCGUGACGGCGCGAGCAGGUGCGAAAGCAGGUCAUAGUGAUCCGGUGGUUCUGAAUGGAAGGGCCAUCGCUCAACGGAUAAAAGGUACUCCGGGGAUAACAGGCUGAUACCGCCCAAGAGUUCAUAUCGACGGCGGUGUUUGGCACCUCGAUGUCGGCUCAUCACAUCCUGGGGCUGAAGUAGGUCCCAAGGGUAUGGCUGUUCGCCAUUUAAAGUGGUACGCGAGCUGGGUUUAGAACGUCGUGAGACAGUUCGGUCCCUAUCUGCCGUGGGCGCUGGAGAACUGAGGGGGGCUGCUCCUAGUACGAGAGGACCGGAGUGGACGCAUCACUGGUGUUCGGGUUGUCAUGCCAAUGGCACUGCCCGGUAGCUAAAUGCGGAAGAGAUAAGUGCUGAAAGCAUCUAAGCACGAAACUUGCCCCGA